UACGGAGGGUGCGAGCGUUAUUCGGAAUUACUGGGCGUAAAGCGCACGUAGGCGGUUAGGCAAGUCGGGUGUGAAAGCCCUGGGCUCAACCUGGGAAUUGCAUUCGAAACUAUCUGACUCGAGUAUGGGAGAGGGAAGCGGAAUUUCCGGUGUAGCGGUGAAAUGCGUAGAUAUCGGAAGGAACACCAGUGGCGAAGGCGGCUUCCUGGACUGAUACUGACGCUGAGGUGCGAAAGCGUGGGGAGCAAACAGG
rnacentral:rRNA from 1 species